AGCUCCAUUCAUGUGAUGCCUAGGCAGCCCAGCAAUGCCCAUGAGUUUCAUGCCUGAGCAUCUUUCUGAGCACUCCACACCUCUGCAUGCUGCCCUGCAGCAGAAAGCUUCUUUCAGUCUGAGAGCUCCUGCUGUAGACUGAGAUGUUUUGUUUUGGACUUCUCAUGUCAGUACUCUCCAGUAUCUAGUUCAGUAAUUUGUACCUUUGCUCAUAGGAGAUGGUUUGCAGACGAUCAUGUUGUUCUCCUGCGUGUCUGAUCUUGUGCUUGCACAGUGCUUGGGAAUGCUUUGUUUAGGCAUAUUGUAUAUCUGCCUGGGUAUCAUAUCAGUUUUCACACGCUGGUGCUUUCAGUUCAGGUGCAGAUUCAGAAACACUUAUUUCCUACCUGGCUUUUACUGUGCCUGCAUGUGGGCUUAUGAGCCACCCUUUAUAUUGGCCACCAUCCAAGGCAGUCACUUCUGGCUCAGCAAAUACUGUCCUUCAUUACAUUUCCGACCUGCGGGCUCGAUUGUUUCCGUCAUGUUAGACAUAAGCCCUUUGACCACGUUCUGUCUCAGAGCAGCUGUACCAGUUGCACAACCAGCUCCCUGCUCCCUGUGUGGCAGCAGCAUUGCUGCUUCAGCUGGGAGCUUGGGGCUGCAGCUUGGUACCCACCGAUGCUGUUCUGCCCUGUUGGCAAAUGCCAAUACCCACAAUUUCAAACCUGCAAACCAGACCUGCAGACUGGUUGUUUUGAAUAAUUUACCCUGCUAACAAUUCAGUCUCUGAUGUGGUUGUUCCAAGCAGGUGUAAAUCUGUGUCCCCUCCAGCACACUCUUGUGACUGAGGUUUAGGGUCAAUUUCUUCCUCCCAUCACUUAAGCAUAUUUUUGAGCCCUCAACAGUAUCAUCUGCUCCAGCAGGUGCCUGUUCUCAGAAAUGCAUCAGGUAGACCGUACUUCAAGUGAGUGAAAGUACGUGAUGUUUUCCACUCUCAGAGGAGAAGAGGCAAUGCAUUUCCGUGGGUUUCAUCAUUCCCUGAGAACACCCAAGACCCCUCCACUGUCAGUGAAGGGACAGACAUGCUACUGUUUGGUGGAUGAGAAUAGCCUCUGCAGCAUUUGAAAAACACAUUUCUCUCGUCACUGACUAUAAAGUUUCCUUUAUAGGCAAUAUAUGGCGUUAUAUUAGGUGGACUGGAUCACUCUCACCCUCCUUUAUUCCUUUUUUCUGUUUGUCCCUUCCCUCCCUCUCUUUACUUCCUCCCUAGGCCAAGUGCCAAAAAUGCUUAGCGAGGCAGGAUCUCAGCUAUCAGCUUAAAUUGUCAAACUGGCUUCCACCUCUUUCAUUUCAGAGAGCACUGUAAUUGAAACUCCUCUUAUUUUAGGUGGUGGUAGUAUUUUAAACUCAGAACUAUGUAAAGAACUGGAGAUAAUGCUAAACUGCUUAGCUGAGAAGGGGUGGCUACAGACCCAGUGAGGAAAUGUUUGCAUAAAUCUUAUGUAGGCAGAUUCUCACCUAGAAAAAGCCUGCGUUUCUGCCAAAAUAUUCAGAAUCUUUCUGGCAUCCACCGCAAGACAAUUGUCAGUCUUGAUUGGUCCGGCAGGGAAAGGCUUUUGCUUUCAUUUUUGUGUGUUUGGUGCCAGCAUAUUUCCCUGACAAGUGAUGUGAGAGGUGACUGGAAGAGUUCAUUGACUGUGGAGAUACCGAUGCAGGAAACCUUCCUUCUUCCACAGAGCAGAAAUUUGCCUACGUGCUCCUUCAGAAAUUGGCUGCCACUGCAUAGCCUCACCUAACCAGCUGUGGAUGAGCGACAAGGACAAGAAAUGUUGGAUUAACUCAGGGGUCUGUGGUUGUCCUUUGUUCCAAAGCUGGUUUAUGAAGAAUUAGAGAGAAACUAGACCAUGCAGGAAAAAGAGCAGAGAAUCCUCAGGGAAUCACCAGAGUUUCCUCAUCUAGCUGUACAGAAGGAGCGUGGGCUGGGAAGCUAGGAAGAUGUGGCUUUCCAUGCAUGGUGCCACUUGAAGUGUCAGUGCCAGAGAUUCUCUCAUCUCCAGAAAGCAGACAGAUGCAGUGUUUCAGAUUGUCUGAUGAAUGAUACAAGAUUUCUCCCAUUACAGAAAUCUCCUAUACUCCUGCUCCCACGAGGAAAUCCAGACUCUGGUCCACACUGUUGCAAGGAACAACUGCGCUGACUUUUAGAACUCUUUGGAUCAUACCUUUACUAAGCCAGGCACUGACUGAUUUUGAAUUUGGCUGGAAUAUAUUUUGAUAUUUAGUUGUCUGAGACUAGCAUAAAAUUGUGCUUCCUGGGUUUCCUGUAAAACACACAUUCAACAGGCUAGUAAAGUAUACUUUAACCUGAUGCAAAACUGUCUUCAUUGCCCAGUAUUUCUUUCAGCUGUACUACAUCACUUGCAAUAUUAGUGUGAUCUGACAUAAUAUGUGAUGGUAUUUUAACUGUCUUGUUUUCUAUGUCUUGCUAUGGACAAAUUUAAUAAAUAAUUGUAUGUUAGAUUUUA